rnacentral:rRNA from 1 species
CAGUCGCCACGGUAAUACGUAGGUGGCAAGCGUUGUCCGGAAUUAUUGGGCGUAAAGGGCUCGCAGGCGGUUUCUUAAGUCUGAUGUGAAAGCCCCCGGCUCAACCGGGGAGGGUCAUUGGAAACUGGGAAACUUGAGUGCAGAAGAGGAGAGUGGAAUUCCACGUGUAGCGGUGAAAUGCGUUGAGAUGUGGAGGAACACCAGUGGCGAAGGCGACUCUCUGGUCUGUAACUGACGCUGAGGAGCGAAAGCGUGGGGAGCGAACAGGAUUAGAUACCCCCGUAGUCCCUGUCUCUUAUAC